GAAAUUCUUAAGUGUACGCGUUAUCUCAUAAAGGUAAGGUUGACCGAACACUUUAAAUUUAGUUAUUUAGAUACUUAUUGAAUGACAGGCCUAUUUAAUUUAGGAAGUUUGAAUUUAAGUUAUAAAUACAUUCCUGCUUAUGAGCGGGUUCAACUACAGAGAUGAUUACCGGCAUAUUCGGAUUUUCG
rnacentral:other from 19 species